rnacentral:lncRNA from 1 species
AUAUUUUUGACCUUAAUAUUAAAUAAUCUGUGACUUUAAUAUAUCAUCUGAGAGAUGAAUUGUAGGAGUUUGUUCAAAUUUGUGUCCUUUAUUCCUCGUCUGAGCUGUCAAUUGUAAUUUUGAUAGGUGAAUUGGUUAUAAUAGAGUCUAGGAAUUUCACAUUUCUAAAAUUAAAUCUUACUUGUUUAAAUAUUAAAUAUUAUUUAUUCUCUCUCCAAU